rnacentral:misc_RNA from 1 species
GCAUGUUUUCUGUGAAAACGGUU